rnacentral:rRNA from 1 species
UAGACCGCCUGGGGAGUACGGCCGCAAGGUUAAAACUCAAAUGAAUUGACGGGGGCCCGCACAAGCGGUGGAGCAUGUGGUUUAAUUCGAUGCAACGCGAAGAACCUUACCUGGUCUUGACAUCCACAGAAGUUUCCAGAGAUGGAUUUGUGCCUUCGGGAACUGUGAGACAGGUGCUGCAUGGCUGUCGUCAGCUCGUGUUGUGAAAUGUUGGGUUAAGUCCCGCAACGAGCGCAACCCUUAUCCUUUGUUGCCAGCGAUUAGGUCGGGAACUCAAAGGAGACUGCCAGUGAUAAACUGGAGGAAGGUGGGGAUGACGUCAAGUCAUCAUGGCCCUUACGACCAGGGCUACACACGUGCUACAAUGGCGCAUACAAAGAGAAGCGACCUCGCGAGAGCAAGCGGACCUCAUAAAGUGCGUCGUAGUCCGGAUUGGAGUCUGCAACUCGACUCCAUGAAGUCGGAAUCGCUAGUAAUCGUGGAUCAGAAUGCCACGGUGAAUACGUUCCCGGGCCUUGUACACACCGCCCGUCACACCAUGGGAGUGGGUUGCAAAAGAAGUAGGUAGCUUAACCUUCGGGAGGGCGCUUACCACUUUGUGAUUCAUGACUGGGGUGAAGUCGUAACAAGGUAACCGUAGGGGAACCUGCGGUUGGAUCACCUCCUUACCUUAAAGAA